UACAGAGGGUGCGAGCGUUAAUCGGAAUUACUGGGCGUAAAGCGCACGUAGAUGGCUUUGUAAGUCAGAUGUGAAAUCCCCGGGCUCAACCUGGGAACUGCAUUUGAAACUGCAUUGCUCGAAUGUGGAAGAGGGAAGCGGAAUUCCAGGUGUAGCGGUGAAAUGCGUAGAUAUCUGGAGGAACACCGGUGGCGAAGGCGGCAUCCUGGACCGGCAUUGACGCUGAACAGCGAAAGCCAGGGGAGCAAACGGG
rnacentral:rRNA from 1 species